AAAGUCGUAACAAGGUUUCCGUAGGUGAACCUGCGGAAGGAUCAUUAAAAAACAGGGAGGCGUGCUCGUUCCUUUUGGAAUCGGAACACGCUUUCUUUUAGUAACCAAAUUCUUUAUUUUUUGUUUCGGAAUCCGGCUAUUGCAUGCUAGAUUCAAAAAUCUAAUCUAAACAAAACUUUCAACAAUGGAUCUCUUGGCUCUU
rnacentral:misc_RNA from 1 species